rnacentral:rRNA from 1 species
UUGAACGCUGGCGGCAUGCCUUACACAUGCAAGUCGAGCGGCAGCGCGGGGGCAACCCUGGCGGCGAGCGGCGCACGGGUGAGUAAUACAUCGGAACGUGUCCUUUUGUGGGGGAUAACCAGUCGAAAGACUGGCUAAUACCGCAUGAGAUCUCACGAUGAAAGCGGGGGACCGCAAGGCCUCGCGCGAUUGGAGCGGCCGAUGUCGGAUUAGCUAGUUGGCGGGGUAAAAGCCCACCAAGGCGACGAUCCGUAGCUGGUUUGAGAGAACGACCAGCCACACUGGGACUGAGACACGGCCCAGACUCCUACGGGAGGCAGCAGUGGGGAAUUUUGGACAAUGGGGGCAACCCUGAUCCAGCCAUGCCGCGUGUGUGAAGAAGGCCUUCGGGUUGUAAAGCACUUUCGGCCGGAACGAAAU